rnacentral:rRNA from 2 species
GCGGGGGGGGCGUGUCAUAUACAUGCAGUCGAGCGGACAGAUGGGAGCUUGCUCCCUGAUGUUAGCGGCGGACGGGUGAGUAACACGUGGGUAACCUGCCUGUAAGACUGGGAUAACUCCGGGAAACCGGGGCUAAUACCGGAUGCUUGUUUGAACCGCAUGGUUCAGACAUAAAAGGUGGCUUCGGCUACCACUUACAGAUGGACCCGCGGCGCAUUAGCUAGUUGGUGAGGUAACGGCUCACCAAGGCGACGAUGCGUAGCCGACCUGAGAGGGUGAUCGGCCACACUGGGACUGAGACACGGCCCAGACUCCUACGGGAGGCAGCAGUAGGGAAUCUUCCGCAAUGGACGAAAGUCUGACGGAGCAACGCCGCGUGAGUGAUGAAGGUUUUCGGAUCGUAAAGCUCUGUUGUUAGGGAAGAACAAGUGCCGUUCAAAUAGGGCGGCACCUUGACGGUACCUAACCAGAAAGCCACGGCUAACUACGUGCCAGCAGCCGCGGUAAUACGUAGGUGGCAAGCGUUGUCCGGAAUUAUUGGGCGUAAAGGGCUCGCAGGCGGUUUCUUAAGUCUGAUGUGAAAGCCCCCGGCUCAACCGGGGAGGGUCAUUGGAAACUGGGGAACUUGAGUGCAGAAGAGGAGAGUGGAAUUCCACGUGUAGCGGUGAAAUGCGUAGAGAUGUGGAGGAACACCAGUGGCGAAGGCGACUCUCUGGUCUGUAACUGACGCUGAGGAGCGAAAGCGUGGGGAGCGAACAGGAUUAGAUACCCUGGUAGUCCACGCCGUAAACGAUGAGUGCUAAGUGUUAGGGGGUUUCCGCCCCUUAGUGCUGCAGCUAACGCAUUAAGCACUCCGCCUGGGGAGUACGGUCGCAAGACUGAAACUCAAAGGAAUUGACGGGGGCCCGCACAAGCGGUGGAGCAUGUGGUUUAAUUCGAAGCAACGCGAAGAACCUUACCAGGUCUUGACAUCCUCUGACAAUCCUAGAGAUAGGACGUCCCCUUCGGGGGCAGAAUGACAGGUGGUGCAUGGUUUUCGUCAGCUCGUGUCGGGAGAAGUUGGGUUAAGUCCCGCAACGAGGGGAACCCUUGAUCUUAGUUGCCAGCAUUCAGUUGGGCACUCUAAGGGGACUGCCGGUGACAAACCGGAGAAAGGGGGGAAAGACGCCAAACAACAGGCCCCUUAAAACUGGGGCAAACCAGUGGUCACAAUGGGCCGAAAAAAGGGGGGCCGAACCCGCCGGGUUAGGCCAAUUCCCAAAAUUUUUUUCACAUGUGGGAAGCGGGGCGGCAAAUUCACCCGGGUAAAA